rnacentral:rRNA from 1 species
GGUUAAGCGACUAAGCGUACACGGUGGAUGCCCUGGCAGUCAGAGGCGAUGAAGGACGUGCUAAUCUGCGAAAAGCGUCGGUAAGGUGAUAUGAACCGUUAUAACCGGCGAUGUCCGAAUGGGGAAACCCAGUGCAAUUCGUUGCACUAUCGUUAACUGAAUACAUAGGUUAACGAGGCGAACCGGGGGAACUGAAACAUCUAAGUACCCCGAGGAAAAGAAAUCAACCGAGAUUCCCCAGUAGCGGCGAGCGAACGGGGAGCAGCCCAGAGUCUGAAUCAGCUUGUGUGUUAGUGGAACGGUCUGGAAAGUCCGACGGUACAGGGUGAUAGUCCCGUACACCAAAAUGCACAGGCUGUGAACUCGAAGAGUAGGGCGGGACACGUGGUAUCCUGUCUGAAUAUGGGGGGACCAUCCUCCAAGGCUAAAUACUCCUGACUGACCGAUAGUGAACCAGUACCGUGAGGGAAAGGCGAAAAGAACCCCGGCGAGGGGAGUGAAAAAGAACCUGAAACCGUGUACGUACAAGCAGUGGGAGCACCUUCGGGUGUGACUGCGUACCUUUUGUAUAAUGGGUCAGCGACUUAUAUUCUGUAGCAAGGUUAACCGUAUAGGGGAGCCGCAGGGAAACCGAGUCUUAACUGGGCGUUAAGUUGCAGGGUAUAGACCCGAAACCCGGUGAUCUAGCCAUGGGCAGGUUGAAGGUUGGGUAACACUAACUGGAGGACCGAACCGACUAAUGUUGAAAAAUUAGCGGAUGACUUGUGGCUGGGGGUGAAAGGCCAAUCAAACCGGGAGAUAGCUGGUUCUCCCCGAAAGCUAUUUAGGUAGCGCCUCGUGAAUUCAUCUUCGGGGGUAGAGCACUGUUUCGGCUAGGGGGUCAUCCCGACUUACCAACCCGAUGCAAACUACGAAUACCGAAGAAUGUUAUCACGGGAGACACACGGCGGGUGCUAACGUCCGUCGUGAAGAGGGAAACAACCCAGACCGCCAGCUAAGGUCCCAAAGUCAUGGUUAAGUGGGAAACGAUGUGGGAAGGCACAGACAGCCAGGAUGUUGGCUUAGAAGCAGCCAUCAUUUAAAGAAAGCGUAAUAGCUCACUGGUCGAGUCGGCCUGCGCGGAAGAUGUAACGGGGCUAAACCAUGCACCGAAGCUGCGGCAGCGACACUAUGUGUUGUUGGGUAGGGGAGCGUUCUGUAAGCCUGCGAAGGUGUGCUGUGAGGCAUGCUGGAGGUAUCAGAAGUGCGAAUGCUGACAUAAGUAACGAUAAAGCGGGUGAAAAGCCCGCUCGCCGGAAGACCAAGGGUUCCUGUCCAACGUUAAUCGGGGCAGGGUGAGUCGACCCCUAAGGCGAGGCCGAAAGGCGUAGUCGAUGGGAAACAGGUUAAUAUUCCUGUACUUGGUGUUACUGCGAAGGGGGGACGGAGAAGGCUAUGUUAGCCGGGCGACGGUUGUCCCGGUUUAAGCAUGUAGGCUGAUUAUCCAGGCAAAUCCGGAUAAUCAAGGCUGAGGUGUGAUGACGAGGCACUACGGUGCUGAAGUAACAAAUGCCCUGCUUCCAGGAAAAGCCUCUAAGCAUCAGGUAACAUCAAAUCGUACCCCAAACCGACACAGGUGGUCAGGUAGAGAAUACCAAGGCGCUUGAGAGAACUCGGGUGAAGGAACUAGGCAAAAUGGUGCCGUAACUUCGGGAGAAGGCACGCUGGUGUGUAGGUGAAGCCCCUGCGGGUGGAGCUGAGACCAGUCGAAGAUACCAGCUGGCUGCAACUGUUUAUUAAAAACACAGCACUGUGCAAACACGAAAGUGGACGUAUACGGUGUGACGCCUGCCCGGUGCCGGAAGGUUAAUUGAUGGGGUUAUCCGUAAGGAGAAGCUCUUGAUCGAAGCCCCGGUAAACGGCGGCCGUAACUAUAACGGUCCUAAGGUAGCGAAAUUCCUUGUCGGGUAAGUUCCGACCUGCACGAAUGGCGUAAUGAUGGCCAGGCUGUCUCCACCCGAGACUCAGUGAAAUUGAACUCGCUGUGAAGAUGCAGUGUACCCGCGGCAAGACGGAAAGACCCCGUGAACCUUUACUAUAGCUUGACACUGAACAUUGAGCCUUGAUGUGUAGGAUAGGUGGGAGGCUUUGAAGCGUGGACGCCAGUCUGCGUGGAGCCAACCUUGAAAUACCACCCUUUAAUGUUUGAUGUUCUAACGUUGGCCCCUUACCGGGGUUGCGGACAGUGUCUGGUGGGUAGUUUGACUGGGGCGGUCUCCUCCCAAAGCGUAACGGAGGAGCACGAAGGUUAGCUAAUCCUGGUCGGACAUCAGGAGGUUAGUGCAAUGGCAUAAGCUAGCUUGACUGCGAGCGUGACGGCGCGAGCAGGUGCGAAAGCAGGUCAUAGUGAUCCGGUGGUUCUGAAUGGAAGGGCCAUCGCUCAACGGAUAAAAGGUACUCCGGGGAUAACAGGCUGAUACCGCCCAAGAGUUCAUAUCGACGGCGGUGUUUGGCACCUCGAUGUCGGCUCAUCACAUCCUGGGGCUGAAGUAGGUCCCAAGGGUAUGGCUGUUCGCCAUUUAAAGUGGUACGCGAGCUGGGUUUAGAACGUCGUGAGACAGUUCGGUCCCUAUCUGCCGUGGGCGCUGGAGAAUUGAGGGGGGCUGCUCCUAGUACGAGAGGACCGGAGUGGACGCAUCACUGGUGUUCGGGUUGUCAUGCCAAUGGCACUGCCCGGUAGCUAAAUGCGGAAGAGAUAAGUGCUGAAAGCAUCUAAGCACGAAACUUGCCCCGAGAUGAGUUCUCCCUGAGACUUUAAGUCUCCUGAAGGAACGUUGAAGACGACGACGUUGAUAGGCCGGGUGUGUAAGCGCAGCGAUGCGUUGAGCUAACCGGUACUAAUGAACCGUGAGGCUUAACCUU